UACGGAGGGGGCUAGCGUUGUUCGGAAUUACUGGGCGUAAAGCGCACGUAGGCGGACCAUCAAGUUGGGGGUGAAAUCCCGGGGCUCAACCCCGGAACUGCCUUCAAAACUGCUGGUCUGGAGGUCGAGAGAGGUGAGUGGAAUUCCGAGUGUAGAGGUGAAAUUCGUAGAUAUUCGGAGGAACACCAGUGGCGAAGGCGGCUCACUGGCUCGAUACUGACGCUGAGGUGCGAAAGCGUGGGGAGCAAACAGG
rnacentral:rRNA from 1 species